UACGAAGGGGGCUAGCGUUGCUCGGAAUCACUGGGCGUAAAGGGCGCGUAGGCGGCUGUUUAAGUCGGAGGUGAAAGCCCGUGGCUCAACCACGGAAAGGCCUUCGAUACUGGACGGCUUGAGACCGGAAGAGGACGGCGGAACUGCGAGUGUAGAGGUGAAAUUCGUAGAUAUUCGCAAGAACACCAGUGGCGAAGGCGGCUGUCUGGUCCGGUUCUGACGCUGAGGCGUGAAAGCGUGGGGAGCAAACAGG
rnacentral:rRNA from 1 species